GCCAGCAGCUCGCUCUCUGCAGCUCUCACAUAGUCGCCCACUGAAGCUUAGCAGGGCUGCGCCCAGUCAGUACCUGGAUGGGAGACCACAUGUGAAGCUAAGUUGCUGCCGGAA
rnacentral:rRNA from 1 species